UACGAACCGUGCGAACGUUGUUCGGAAUCACUGGGCUUAAAGGGCGCGUAGGCGGGCUGCCAAGUCUGGGGUGAAAUCCCACGGCUCAACCGUGGAACUGCCUCGGAUACUGGCGGCCUCGAGGGGGGUAGGGGCGUGCGGAACUGUGGGUGGAGCGGUGAAAUGCGUUGAUAUCCACAGGAACUCCGGUGGCGAAGGCGGCACGCUGGACCUCUUCUGACGCUGAGGCGCGAAAGCCAGGGGAGCAAACGGG
rnacentral:rRNA from 1 species